GGAAGAACAGAAAAUUGGAGGGCAAGAGAAGUUAAGUUCCAUCCUUGUUUACCUGUCUACAGUGUCCUCAGUACAUUGGUCAAGGCUGGAUAGUCAGUAGAACUGAAGAGGCCAUUAGGUUAUUUAAAGAAGGGUAAUGCAGUAGCUGCCUUUACUGAUCACAGUCAGACAACCAGCUAGAAAAAUGGCAGUUUGAAUCCUGGCACACAGAGAUGACCACACCAAAAUGACUAUCCCAGCUUCCCAACCUUGGCCUUGGCAGUAUGUAAAUUAUUUCCACUCCAGGUCAUCACUAUGAUCAAGGGAGGAGGUGGAAUAUUGGAGGCCUAGCAGCCAUAG
rnacentral:lncRNA from 1 species